GGCAGUGUGGCUUAAUGGUAAAGCACUUGCUUAGCAUGUUUGAAGCCCUGGGUUCUAUCCCCAGCACUGCAA
rnacentral:tRNA from 1 species